rnacentral:tRNA from 1 species
GAGGGUAUAGCUCAGUGGUAGAGUGCGUGCUCGGCAGGCACGAGGUCCUGGAUUCCAUCCCCAGUGCCUCCG